CAUGUAGGCGGUUUUUUAAGUCUGGAGUGAAAAUGCGGGGCUCAACCCCGUAUGGCUCUGGAUACUGGAAGACUUGAGUGCAGGAGAGGAAAGGGGAAUUCCCAGUGUAGCGGUGAAAUGCGUAGAUAUUGGGAGGAACACCAGUGGCGAAGGCGCCUUUCUGGACUGUGUCUGACGCUAAGAUGCGAAAGCCAGGGUAGCAACG
rnacentral:rRNA from 1 species